CUUUAUUGACUCAUCUCUUGGCUUUACCAUGGGAUGGUUGUAUUGGGCAUUGUGGUCAUUAGU
rnacentral:sRNA from 1 species